AAAUUAGCGAUGCUAACGUCGAGCAACGAGUUCUUUCUGUUCUACAUGGCUAACAGCCGGUGUUAGGUUUGUUAUGAUAGAUGCAACAACACUGCCUAGCUGAUUCUAAACGAGCCGCGUUUGUCAUGGUCCGUCACCGCGACAGCAAGUGUACUUUUAAACUGAAAUAAGGAGUGGAUUCAGAAAGAGAGCAAUUACAGAAACCUAGAUGGAUUUGACCCUUUUUCUUGGCAAGGAGGAUGGCCAGGCGCCAGGCACAGAGGAGCAAGCUACUAAUGUUACAUAAGGUUAUCCCAGCAGCCAAGUGAAUCUGGAGCACAAAUGAAUUAAGGGAGAAUUAAGGAGCCUGUGCAAAGUGAAGCCUUUCCAAAUCUCGGCAAAGAUGAAAGGAAUGCAGCAAAAGACUGGAAACAGAGAGAAACGGCUGACCUAAAUCUUCCCACAGGUCUGGAAAAGCUGUUUCAUUGAUUUUGCAGGAAAUGCAGAUUGAUCCGGCUGAAUUUGCAUGGGAAUCCAUUCCGUUUGAGCCGAGAGAUCAUAAUUGAUCAGAUGGGAUAAAGCCUGCAUCUGGUUUGCCUUUCAAAGGUUAAGGUGAAAAUGAAUUUGCUUGUUCGUUAGUUACAUUUCAAUCCUGUAAUUAAGUCUUGCAAAUGAUUAAAAUGUAAAACAAUGGA